rnacentral:lncRNA from 10 species
CAGCAGGUUCUGUCGACCCCACCUGGGCACAGCUGACAUAAGCCUUCCUUAUAGUUGUGUGGGGCCACAGGACUGAGUUGCGGCCAGUGAAAUGUGGGUUGAGGCCUGAGUCAACCAAAAAGCACAACAGAACUCAACACAACAAAACACUUUGUUGCUGCUUGAAGGCUGCAGAUAGCGUUCUAACCCUGCACCGUGGGAGGUGUUUCAUCAUCCGGUUUUUCAAUUCCCCUUGGAUUCACUCUUUUUAGAUGCCUAGACUGUGACAGUGUGAGGGAAAGGCUGCUGCCAAAAGUGGAGGACUUAAAGCUGGAGGCCGCCCCAAAGACGGGGAAAUGAAGAAAACGCCGUUUCUGGAGCUCCCUGAGGAAACUGAUACAGUGAUGAGGAUGAAGGCAUAGAGAAACAACCUUCAAGAAGGACUGGACGAAAGAAAGAGCAACAGCAGUCCCCAAGUUUUGCAUCUCUGUCUUAUGACUCUGAUUCUUCAGCUCCAAGCUCCACAACCACUAACAACUACAGGUCUUGAUUCUGUCCCUGGCCACUCAGGUACCCUCUAAGAAAGAGGAUUGAG